UAGGGAAUCUUCGGCAAUGGGGGCAACCCUGACCGAGCAACGCCGCGUGAGUGAAGAAGGUUUUCGGAUCGUAAAGCUCUGUUGUAAGUCAAGAACGAGUGUGAGAGUGGAAAGUUCACACUGUGACGGUAGCUUACCAGAAAGGGACGGCUAACUACGUGCCAGCAGCCGCGGUAAUACGUAGGUCCCGAGCGUUGUCCGGAUUUAUUGGGCGUAAAGCGAGCGCAGGCGGUUUGAUAAGUCUGAAGUUAAAGGUCGUGGCUCAACCAUAGUUCGCUUUGGAAACUGUCAAACUUGAGUGCAGAAGGGGAGAGUGGAAUUCCAUGUGUAGCGGUGAAAUGCGUAGAUAUAUGGAGGAACACCGGUGGCGAAAGCGGCUCUCUGGUCUGUAACUGACGCUGAGGCUCGAAAGCGUGGGGAGCGAACAGGAUUAGAUACCCUGGUAGUCCACGCCGUAAACGAUGAGUGCUAGGUGUUGGAUCCUUUCCGGGAUUCAGUGCCGCAGCUAACACAUUAAGCACUCCGCCUGGGGAGUACGACCGCAAGGUUG
rnacentral:rRNA from 1 species